GGGGGCGACCUGGCUUCGACGUGGGUUACAAAGCAGCGUUGUGCAUGCCGAGGUUUCAGUUACCUCGUAAAUCAGCUGAAAAUUUACAAACGCCAACGACGAGCGUUUCGCUCUAGCCGCUUAACCCGGCUAGCUUUGCGCCGGUUUGCUGAUGGGCCGGGUCGGGGCAACCCGACAGCAAAGUCAGAUACAUGAGAUAAGGUUCGGUUCUGCUGCAUGACCGGACUCGAAAAUUCAGCAGAUCGUCUGAAGUAAGCCUGUUGGGUCGGCGUACCAGGACUAAAACCAAAUGACCGGACUAAGCAUGUAGAUCGCGUUGUAGAGGACUUGCGGACGCGGGUUCAAUCCCCGCCGCCUCCACCA
rnacentral:tmRNA from 1 species